GUGGGGAAUAUUGCACAAUGGGCGCAAGCCUGAUGCAGCAACGCCGCGUGAGGGACGACGGCCUUCGGGUUGUAAACCUCUUUUAGCAGGGAAGAAGCGAAAGUGACGGUACCUGCAGAAAAAGCACCGGCUAACUACGUGCCAGCAGCCGCGGUAAUACGUAGGGUGCAAGCGUUGUCCGGAAUUAUUGGGCGUAAAGAGCUCGUAGGCGGUUUGUCGCGUCUGAUGUGAAAACUCGAGGCUCAACCUCGGGCCUGCAGUGGGUACGGGCAAACUAGAGUGCGGUAGGGGAGAUUGGAAUUCCUGGUGUAGCGGUGGAAUGCGCAGAUAUCAGGAGGAACACCGAUGGCGAAGGCAGAUCUCUGGGCCAUAACUGACGCUGAGGAGCGAAAGCGUGGGGAGCGAACAGGAUUAGAUACCCUUGUAGUCC
rnacentral:rRNA from 1 species